GGGUCAGUAGGUUGGUCGUGCCACCGGUACGUACUGGUCUCACUGAUUCCUCCUUCCUGAAGAACCGUAAUGCCAUUAAUUUGGUGUUGCGGGGAAACAGGACUGUUACUUUGAAAAAAUUAGAGUGUUUAAAGCAAGCUAACGCUUGAAUACAUUAGCAUGGAAUAAUGAAAUAGGACGAUCGAUCCCAUUUUGUUGGUUUCUAGGAUUGACGCA
rnacentral:rRNA from 1 species